rnacentral:other from 1 species
GAGGCUCUGCGUUGUUGGUGAUGUUUCUGGUGUUUUAAGGCUAUAAAAUGGUUUUUGGGAUUUUUAUUCCCGGUUUGAUGUCAGACCUUCGAAGCGAGGAAGGCAGAGAAUUGGGUGCGGAAUCCCACCUGCUGAGUCAGGUCUUCAAAAACCCCUUUUGCACACGGCAAUCGCGGAGUGAUC